AUUGAACGCUGGCGGCAGGCUUAACACAUGCAAGUCGAGCGGGGAAAGGUAGCUUGCUACCUGACCUAGCGGCGGACGGGUGAGUAAUGCUUAGGAAUCUGCCUAUUAGUGGGGGACAACAUCUCGAAAGGGAUGCUAAUACCGCAUACGUCCUACGGGAGAAAGCAGGGGACCUUCGGGCCUUGCGCUAAUAGAUGAGCCUAAGUCGGAUUAGCUAGUUGGUGGGGUAAAGGCCUACCAAGGCGACGAUCUGGAGCGGGUCUGAGAGGAUGAUCCGCCACACUGGGACUGAGACACGGCCCAGACUCCUACGGGAGGCAGCAGUGGGGAAUAUUGGACAAUGGGGGGAACCCUGAUCCAGCCAUGCCGCGUGUGUGAAGAAGGCCUUUUGGUUGUAAAGCACUUUAAGCGAGGAGGAGGCUACCGAGAUUAAUACUCUUGGAUAGUGGACGUUACUCGCAGAAUAAGCACCGGCUAACUCUGUG
rnacentral:rRNA from 1 species